GCAGAAACCAGCUCCCAGACUGAAGUGCUAAGGAGGCUCUCAUGGAAGGGAAGGCAUGAGGUUAGCUGGAAGACACGGUGACCAGAAGGUACUGGGAGACGCUGUCUUGUCCUCACCCCACCACCGACACAGAGAUUGUUUUUCAGGACUGUAUUUCAGAAGAUGGAGGUGUAACUCACAAAUGGUUUCUCACGAGCACAUAAUCACAUCAACGACAGAACAGUUUGCUUCCAGGG
rnacentral:lncRNA from 1 species